rnacentral:rRNA from 1 species
AUACGUAGGGGGCGAGCGUUGUCCGGAAUGAUUGGGCGUAAAGGGCGCGUAGGCGGCGCGGUAAGUCUGGAGUGAAAGUCCUGCUUUCAAGAUGGGAAUUGCUUUGGAUACUGUCGGGCUUGAGUGCAGGAGAGGUAAGUGGAAUUCCCAGUGUAGCGGUGAAAUGCGUAGAGAUUGGGAGGAACACCAGUGGCGAAGGCGACUUACUGGACUGUAACUGACGCUGAGGCGCGAAAGUGUGGGGAGCAAACAGGAUUAGAUACCCUGGUAGUCCACACUGUAAACGAUGAAUGCUAGGUGUAGGGGGUAUCGACCCCUUCUGUGCCGCAGUCAACACAAUAAGCAUUCCGCCUGGGGAGUACGGCCGCAAGGUUGAAACUCAAAUGAAUUGGCGGGG